rnacentral:rRNA from 1 species
UACGUAGGGUGCUAGCGUUGUUCGGAUUCAUUGGGCGUAAAGGGUGCGUCGGUGGCGGGGUAAGUCAGGUGUGAAAUCUCGGGGCUCAACCCCGAAACUGCAUUUGAUACUGCCUUGCUCGAGUACUGGAGAGGAGAUUGGAAUUUACGGUGUAGCAGUGAAAUGCGUAGAUAUCGUAAGGAAGACCAGUGGCGAAGGCGAAUCUCUGGACAGUUACUGACACUGAGGCACGAAGGCCAGGGGAGCAAACGGG